rnacentral:rRNA from 1 species
UGGGGAAUUUUGGACAAUGGGCGAAAGCCUGAUCCAGCCAUGCCGCGUGAGUGAAGAAGGCCUUCGGGUUGUAAAGCUCUUUUAGUCGGAAAGAAAGAGUUGCAAUGAAUAAUUGUGAUUUAUGACGGUACCGACAGAAAAAGCACCGGCUAACUACGUGCCAGCAGCCGCGGUAAUACGUAGGGUGCGAGAGUUAAUCGGAAUUGCUGGGCGUAAAGGGUGCGCAGGCGGUCUUGCAAGUCAGAUGUGAAAUCCCCGGGCUUAACCUGGGAACUGAAUUCGUGGCUGAAAGGCUAGAGUAUGGCAGAGNGGGGUAGAAUUCCGCGUGUAUCAGUUAAAUGCGUAGAUAUGUGGAGGAAUACCAAUUGCGAAGGCAGCCCCCUGGGCCAAUACUGACGCUCAUGCACGAAAGCGUGGGGAGCAAACA